AUGUUUACUUUUAUAUUCGUGUCUCUGUGGCUUUCACUAGGUGACUCCAUGGCAGAUUCAAUAAAGCCACUUUCCACUCAGAAUGUUGUAGAUGAAGGUGAUGAUGUUACUCUGUCCUGCGAAUUUGUAACAAGUGCUCCAGGAUUCUCCCUGCACUGGUACAGACAAUAUCCAAAAUCUGAACCUGAGUUCCUUCUUUAUAUUUACAAAAAUGGAGAUCUAAGUGAAAACCGUCCCCCAAGAAUGAAUGCUACACUUAAAGAUAAGAAAGUGGAUCUGAUCAUCUCCUCUGCUGCUGUAUCAGACUCUGCACUAUAUUACUGUGCUCUGGCG